AGAGUACGUGAAACCGUUCAGGGGUAAACCUGAGAAACCCGAAAGGUCGAAAGGGGAGAUUCAGCGUGUCUCGAUUGCGGCGCUGGACGGUCGUGCGACGGAAGACGUACGCGUCAUCCGCACCUUCCGUUCUCCGAACCGUAGUCGAACGCGUGCACUUCUCCCCCUGUAGGACGUCGCGAUCCGUUGGGUGCCGGUCUAAGGCCCGCGAUGGAGCCCGUUCGGACGGUUUACCGUUCCGGACGAACUCGCGGUGUUUCCCGGUCGGCUCGCUCGACGGUAUACAGAUGGCGCGGGGCCGCUACACAUUAGUUAGCGUCCGACCGGCGGCAAGCGCGCUCGUUGUGACGGUGAUCGGACCUGGUGCCGGUCCUGUCCCCGAGUGGCUGUUCGCUGCCGUGUUCUCGGACAGACCUCGUCGAAACGCCGAUCUGCGACGCUAUAGCUUUGGGUACUUUCAGGACCCGUCUUG
rnacentral:rRNA from 1 species